AGGAGCGAGAGUUGAGGAAAGAAGUGCAUGUGAGACAGAGAAAGAAAAAGACAGAGGGAGAGAGACAGCAAGAGAAUCUGCACUGUUUGUGGCCUUCUGCCAGUUAAAAGUUCUCACUGUUCCCUCAGUGCUGGUGUUUAAUCAGAAGCAAAAAAAAAAAAAAAAAACUCCUUUCAGCUGGUUUUCAUGAGCAAUCUCCACCACCACAAUAGCUGUAAGAAGUUUAAACAGAACCUGUCAACAGCCAGGCCAUGACGCACCAAGAGAACUGUCAGCCAUCAGGACAAGAACAGUCAUGAUAACUGCAUGAUAAAAGAGUCAGAGUGCCGUCCACUGCCGAAAGCACCUACAAUGGGUGUGUGAGCAUCAGAACUGGAGCAUGGAGCAAUGGAAGAAGGUGGCCUGGUCUGAUUAAUCACUUUUCUUUUACAUCACAUGGACAGCUGGGUGGGUGUGUGUUGCUUAAAUGGGGAAGAGAUGGCACAGGGAUGCACUAUGGGAAGAAGGCAAGCCGGUGGAGGCAAUGUGAUGCUCUGGGAAACCUUGGGUCCUGGCAUGCAUGUGGAUGACACGUACCACCUACCUAAACAUUGUUGCAGACCCCCCCCCGGCAACGGUAUUCCCAAAUGGCAGUGGCCUAUUUCGGCAGGAUAAUGUGUCCUGCCACACUGCAAAAACUGUUCUGGAAUGGUUUGAGGAACAUGACAAAGAGUUCAAGAUGUUGACUUGGCCUCUAAAUUCCCCAGAUCUCAAUCCGAUCAAGCAUCUGUGGGAUGUGCUGGAGAAACAAGUCCAAUCCAUGGAGGCCCCACUUCGUGACUUACAGGAUUUAAAGGAUCUGCUGCUAACGUCUUGGUGCCAGAUACCACAGCACACCUUCAGAGGUCUUGUGGAGUCCAUACCUCGACAGGUCAGAGCUGUUUUGGUGGCACGGGGGGCCUACACAAUAUUAAGCAUGUGGUUUUAAUUUUAUGGCUGGUCUGUCUGUCUGUCUGUCUAUCCAUCUAUCCAACCAUCCAACCAUCCUAUAGAUCAUAUCUAUCUAUCUAUCUAUCUAUCUAUCUAUCGAUCUAUCUAUCUAUGCAUAUAGUCUAAAGUACUUAACAUUAUUUUAUUUUUCUUAUUUUAUUUAGAUCUUCUAUUUUUAAUUAUGAUGGCUGGUAGGAAGUGCAAAGCAAUAAUCUCCUUGUACAGUGUAACUGUCUGUUCCCUCUACAUAUGUCAGUAAAGUCUUGAAUCUUAUACUGGCAAUAUCUGCUCCAAGGAACCUGCA